AGCGAACGCUGGCGGUAGGCCUAACACAUGCAAGUCGAACGGCAGCACAGUAAGAGCUUGCUCUUACGGGUGGCGAGUGGCGGACGGGAGAGGAAUACAUCGGAAUCUACUUUUUCGUGGGGGAUAACGUAGGGAAACUUACGCUAAUACAGCAUACGACCUUCGGGUGAAAGCAGUGGAUCUUCGGACCUUGCGCGAUUGAAUGAGCCGAUGUCGGAUUAGCUAGUUGGCGGGGUAAAGGCCGACCAAAGCGACGAUCCGUAGCUGGUCUGAGAGGAUGAUCAGCGACACUGGAACUUGGACACGGUCCAGACUCCUACGGGAGGCAGCAGUGGGGAAUAUUGGACAAUGGGCGCAAGCCUGAUCCAGCCAUACCGCGUGGGUGAAGAAGGCCUUCUGGUUGUAAAGCCCUUUUGUUGGGAAAGAAAAGCAGCAGGUUAAUACCCCGCUGUUCUGACGGUACCCAAAGAAUAAGCACCGGCUAACUUCGUG
rnacentral:rRNA from 1 species